AACACGUAAGAAUCUGCCCCUCGGUCGGGGACAACUUUUGGAAACGAAAGCUAAUACCCGAUACGCUGUGGAGUGAAAGAAUUUCGCCGAGGGAUGAUCUUGCGUCUGAUUAGCUAGUUGGUGCGGUAAUGGCGCACCAAGGCGACGAUCAGUAGCUGGUCUGAGAGGAUGAACAGCCACAUUGGAACUGAGACACGGUCCAAACUCCUACGGGAGGCAGCAGUGGGGAAUUUUCCGCAAUGGACGAAAGUUCUGACGGAGCGACGCUGCGUGAAGGAUGACGGCCUGCGGGUUGUAAACUUCUUUUCUCGAAGAAGAAGCUCUGACGGUAUUCGAGGAAUAAGCAUCGGCUAACUCCGUGCCAGCAGCCGCGGUAAGACGGAGGAUGCAAGUGUUAUUCGGAAUGAUUGGGCGUAAAGCGUCUGUAGGCGGUUUGGAAAGUCUUUUGUGAAAUUCUUCAGCUCAACUGGGGGUCCGCAAAAGAAACUUCUAGGCUUGAGGGAAGUAGAGGUACAGGGAAUUUCCGGUGGAGCGGUGAAAUGCGUAGAUAUCGGAAGGAACACCAAUAUGGCGAAGGCACUGUACUGGGCUUUACCUGACGCUAAGAGACGAAAGCUAAAGGAGUGAUUAGGAUUAGAUACCCUAGUAAUUUUAGCCGUAAACGAUGGAAACUCACUGCCGAGCCGGUAUUCGGAGCGGUGGUCAAGCUAACGCGUGAAGUUUCCCGCCUGGGGACUACGCAUGCAAAUGUGAAACUCAAAGGAAUUGACGGGGACCCGCACAAGCGGUGGAGUAUGUGGUUUAAUUCGAUGCAACGCGAAAAACCUUACCAAGGUUUGAAAUCAUUUCAAAACUCUUUGAAAGAAGAGCCUCCUUCGGGAUGGAAUGACAGGUGGUGCAUGGCUGUCGUCAGCUCGUGUUGUGAAAUGUCAAGUUAAGUCUUGUAACGAGCGCAACCCAUGUCUUUUGUUGCUGUUUACAGUGCUUAAAAGAGACUGCCGCUCUACAGCGGAGGAAGGUGUGGAUGAUGUCAAGUCAGCAUGCCCCUUAUAUCUUGGGCUACACACGUACUACAAUGGUAGGGACAAUGAGUCGCAAACCUGCGAAGGCUAGCCAAUCUCAAAAACCCUAUCUCAGUUCGGAUUGUACUCUGCAACUCGAGUGCAUGAAGGUGGAAUCGCUAGUAAUCGCUGGUCAGCAUACAGCGGUGAAUACGUUC
rnacentral:rRNA from 1 species